UAUAUCUCAAAAUGAAACCCUCCAAUGGUUUUACGUUGUUCUUGAUUGUUUUGUUUUCACUUAUGCUCAUUUCUUCUGCAGGAAGAACCCAUCCUACAACCACUACCGUCCAGUCUAAAACACAGAAACAACCAAAAGGAGAUAAUAAUAAAGGUGAAGCAGAAAAUGUAGCACAUACAGAUAGUAGAUGGGGAGGCUGUUCUGGUUGUUGGCCCCCGAAUCACAAUAAUCGUCGUCUUCGAUAAACUAUAUAUGCCUGGUUGGGUCGACGGCUAUGUAAUGGAUGUACUACUUCUAAUAUCAUAUGAAUAAACAAUGUCAUAAAUUCUGAA